rnacentral:sRNA from 1 species
ACCAACAAUUCGAGCGAUUUGAUCUACCCCAUUUGGUCCCGUAACUUGUUUCGAAAACCUUUGGCAAAUGCCUGCCCAGCAGCACUAAACGUGUUCGCGGAACCUCAAUAUUUAGACCAUUUGUUUUCGGAAGCGAAGCGCAGCCCUUUGACCCGGCAAAACGACCCCCAAACGCGCCCGAAGACCACACCCACCAGUGGCGUGUAUUCGUCAAAGGUGUCAACGAUGAAGACAUCUCAUACUGGUUGAAAAAGGUGCAGUUCAAACUGCAUGAGACCUAUGCGCAGUGUGUGCGCACCAUCGAAUCGCCACCGUUCGAGGUCACAGAGACAGGAUGGGGUGAGUUUGAGAUACAGAUCAAGUUAUACUUCGUUCCAGAGUCGACAGAGAAACCGCAAACGUUAUGGCACAGUCUGAAGCUGCAUCCGUACGGGGAUGACAUCGAGGGGAAAAGAGAGAGGCGAGAUGUCAUUGUGGCACAGAAUUACGAAGAGGUUGUGUUUAAUGAGCCCGUUGAACAAUUUUAUGAUCUUCUUACGGGCGGAACAGGAGUAGUGCAGCAACCUCCUAAAGGAAAAGCAGGGAAGGGGGCUAAGCAGCCACAAACGCAACCGGGGAGGACAGCGGAAAUCCCUUACUCGGAUAGCCCGAAGAAUCCGUACAGUCAAAAGACAGAGGCGAAGGAGCUGGAUAGGUUGGCCGAGGCUAUCAAGACUGUGGAUCAGAUGCUGAAGGAAGAAAAAGCAAAGCUGGCGGAGCGGGAAGCUAAAUUGGAUGAGCUGAGGAAGAGUGAGGGUGUGACGACCGUGGUGAAGAAGAAAUAGACGUUUCUCUUGCCAUUCUGUUUUUGCAAUUCGAAGAAUUAUCAAGUCAUUGGAACAAUUGCAAAUUCCUUCUCCUUUCCAGAAGGUGGGAGUACGACGACACUAUGUAACAUUGGCGGCCUAUGUAUGGUAGAGAUACUUACAGGCUGCCAUCACUGGACCUGAAAUACCGGUCUCUAAUUAUCCUUUUGGAACGAAUCCUCGACAUUUCGCAAGCCAGUUCCCAAAUCAACAUGCAUUAACAUCAUUCUUAUUACUGGCCCAGCUUCUCAGCCGACUCUUGAAUGGGCACGGAUACCUCUACGCUUCUCAACCGCUCUUCAAUCGCCUCCAAACACAAAAAUCCCAAAAUUUCAUCCAUUCAUUUCUAAUUCCUUGAGACUUGGAUCUGAGAACGUGUCUAUUGAGGAAAUAUCGGCAUCUUAAAUAUUCAGGCCAUUUGGAGGGAUUUUCCGGGACGAAUUGGCCGCGCAGGCACCGGACGUAUACAUUGGUGCUCCUGAGACGCUCCUGUAUUUCCACCGGCCAUUUACGGGAAAGUCAGUAGUGAACUAUUCCAUCCGCUACAUUGUACGCUCUAUGGGGGAUUGGCCAGGUUCAAGGCCUUCCCUUUUGUGACGAGAUAUAGUUUAGUAUUGUCUAGGAGGCAAUGUCUUAAUAAAGGUAUAUAUUUCUAUCGCACCGGUUUCACAAAACAAACGUACGUGUACGUGCAUCUAUUCUUCUCUCAGUGUGGUUUCAGUGGCCGCAGGGUCAUGCUUCCAAAAAUUUCGAACAGCAAACGUCGAAAGUUUUAUAGAGAAUGCAACCAAAGAUGAUUUUGCGGAGAAAAACUUCAAAGAGAAAAAGGAAAACAACCGAAGAAAUGCAACUUCUACUUCACGACACUGAACAUCGCCAAUAGUACAUUUAUUCAUAUAUACAUGAAUCCCGCAUCAUCGAUCCACAUCCAAAAUCUACUCUUUCGAUCCAAACACCUUGACUCUCUCCUCCAAUGGUUUGAAUGUUUUCUCCGUCAGUUCAUCCGUUGAAGUGCCGAAGACCAUUUGAGCGACCAGCUUCCAUUCAGCAGGGAGGGACCAGGUCUUGGCAACAGUGUCGUCGAUUAAGGGGUUGUAAUGUUGUAAGUUUGCGGCGAGGCCAACGGAUCGAAGGGCGAGCCAGACUGUAUUCGAUAACUGUCAGAUAAGUGGGCUUCGCAGACAUGGCCAAAAUAGAAACACCUGCGAGGGGAAUUUUUAAAAGAACAACAAGGAGAAGAGCGAAGGACUACGAACGGAAAUACUGAUGCAUGGCAUUCGUAUGCUGUGCCCAAGGGGCAAAUUGAUCUCUAUAUGUCGGAAACUUCUCCGCCAUUGGCGCGAUGUGUUCCGGAUCUUCGAAGAAAAGAAUCUAUACGGGUGCAGACGAUUUAGGUUAGUUAACAAGGAUUUACGCAACCCGAUUUCUUUUGCCCAGAAAAGAACGGCAAUGGGGAGGAAAUACGUACAGUACCAUACGCUGCCCUGAAUCCUUGCAACUUGGGCUUCGUAUGGGUCUCCCACAUUUCCUUCGACAUCUUCCCCGGGGCUACCUUCGACUCCACAAAUAUUUUUAUCGCUGCAUCCCACAGUUUUCUAUGCUCUUCAUGCAACAGAAGCACAAGACGAGUGGAUUGUGUAUUGAAACUACUUGGCACAUGCAGGAUGGCACUCUUUACCAACUCUUGGAUUUCGGAGUCUGGUACUGGACUUGAGGCGGAGAGCGUGUAGACUGAGCGCCGUGCUUUGGCGAGUUCUAUGAAAGCGGCGGCGGUAGCGGCGGGGAUAAGAGGCUUAGGCUCUGCGACAGUCAUUUUGUUUUCUGAGGCUGUUUUCCGGUUCUGAUUCUGGUGCUGUGGAAUACUGCGGCGAUAGCGAGAACGCACAAAGACAAGUUCCGGUCAGACUCUAGGCGAUAUAUGCUGGCGAUCUAUGGGAAGGAUGAUUCGCGAAAUGCUUAAGGGGCAUUAAGUAGGAAAGGAAUUCCUUUGCAGUUGUUAUGGAUGAGCACAUGAUGAACGGGCCAGGGAGAGGAGCUCGAUUUAUAGAACAGUGCUCGCGGGGUCCAAGAACAGUGAAGCCAAGGUACCGAGCUUCCUCAUGAGGGGAUUGUCAGAAUAUCAAUUAUUCAUGAAUGACAAAUUGAGCAGUCCUCGAAGACCAGAUAUGAAACAAAGUCUCCAAAGAAAAUAUAGAAACUUCUCCGAAUGUAGCUAGCUUCAGUUUCCAACUCCAAUUGUCCAGUUGUUGACCCGAGGUUUUUCGGGCCCAGCACGGAAUGCUCCAUCGUGGUGCGCUUCUGCCCCAAAUGACAUUACCAAUGCUUAACAAAUGCUUAACUAUUCCCAGUGAACAUAGUUAACCUUGCCCUCGGCGUUAGGAUUUAACCCGCUCGGCACUUUUGACUUUUCCGAGGCCGAGAAUUCUCCGAUUCCUAAUUAUUAUAUGCGAAUGAUGACAAGAAAGAUUGGAAUCCGUUUCAUGAGCUGCUCCUGUCCAACAAGCACACUUUAAUGGCAUUGAAUAACCAUAGAGGACGAAUUAAUAAUGAUAAUACUUAUCACAAUGGACGCUGAUAGUAACAUAUGGAUAAAAGGGGAGAAAUAUCGAUUUCUUUGGUAAAAAAAAUUAUGAAAAAAAGGAAAAAAACAGAAAACUCCAAGCCCCACUCACUAUUAAAGAAAGGGACCUCAAAGAAGAAUAUCUAAUAUACAAUGUGCAUUACCCACCUUUAAUGAGAAGGGCACGAAGACGGUAUGGCCCCAUGCGCCUUAAUCCAAUAAAUGAUCUCGCCGGUAUUAUUGUACGGAUAGUUGUCCCUCUGUUUCCUAUGUUUCCCUCUCCGCAAACGCAGGGAAGCCAGCUCGCGGACCCUGUAAUGAGCAUUCGCUAGAUUUUUGGUCCGGAUGAGUGCCGCUAUACCACCCGCCUUCAAUGAGUCGACUUUCCGUCUCUCGCCAAUACUGCAGUUUCCCGCCGAUUCCACUCUUGAAAUCAAGAUCUCCCAAGCGCGCUUCGAGUGGUUGAAGUUCGUCGAGUGGAACCUUAACAAACAUGGUGCAAUCCCUCAGCGUCAUGGAAAUAGCACGCUCCCGAAAAUUUGCCUUUAAACCAGGGAGGCCUACUGCAUUCAUCUGGCGCUGACACUCUUGCAGUUUAAGCAGGGUGCUAUUUCGAUGCAAGAACGCGGCGACACGCUCUCUCCCGUGACCUCCACGGAUAAACCGUGUCGCACGUAAUACAUCUUCAAAGUUAUCCGAAACCAAAUCAAGCGGGC